UACAGAGGGUGCAAGCGUUAAUCGGAAUUACUGGGCGUAAAGCGUGCGUAGACGGUUAUGUAAGUCGGGUGUGAAAGCCCCGGGCUCAACCUGGGAAUUGCAUUCGAGACUGCAUAGCUAGGGUGCGGAAGAGGGAAGCGGAAUUUCCGGUGUAGCGGUGAAAUGCGUAGAUAUCGGAAGGAACACCAGUGGCGAAAGCGGCUUCCUGGUCCAGCACCGACGUUCAGACACGAAAGCGUGGGGAGCAAACAGG
rnacentral:rRNA from 1 species